AUUGAACGCUGGCGGCAUGCCUUACACAUGCAAGUCGAACGGCAGCACGGGUGCUUGCACCUGGUGGCGAGUGGCGAACGGGUGAGUAAUACAUCGGAACGUACCUUAUCGUGGGGGAUAACGCAGCGAAAGCUGUGCUAAUACCGCAUACGCCCUGAGGGGGAAAGCGGGGGAUCGAAAGACCUCGCGCGAUUAGAGCGGCCGAUGCCUGAUUAGCUUGUUGGUGGGGUAAAAGCCCACCAAGGCGACGAUCAGUAGCUGGUCUGAGAGGACGAUCAGCCACACUGGGACUGAGACACGGCCCAGACUCCUACGGGAGGCAGCAGUGGGGAAUUUUGGACAAUGGGGGCAACCCUGAUCCAGCAAUGCCGCGUGAGUGAAGAAGGCCUACGGGUUGUAAAGCUCUUUUGUCAGGGAAGAAACACCGGCUCUAACACAGUCCGGGAAUGACGGUACCUGAAGAAUAAGCACCGGCUAACUACGUGCCAGCCGCCGUAAGAC
rnacentral:rRNA from 1 species